AGAGUUUGAUCCUGGCUCAGGACGAACGCUGGCGGCGUGCCUAACACAUGCAAGUCGAACGAGGUCCAUCCGGUGGCAACACCGGAGAAGACCUAGUGGCGAACGGGUGCGUAACACGUGAGCAACCUGCCCCGAAGACCGGGAUAACGCCGGGAAACCGGUGCUAAUACCGGAUGUCCCCACGGAGUCGCAUGGCUCUG
rnacentral:rRNA from 1 species